rnacentral:tRNA from 4 species
CGGAGCGUAGCGCAGCCUGGUAGCGCGCUUGGUUUGGGACCAAGAUGUCGGAGGUUCGAAUCCUCUCGCUCCGACCA